rnacentral:rRNA from 1 species
UGGGGAAUCUUCCGCAAUGGACGAAAGUCUGACGGAGCAACGCCGCGUGAGUGAUGACGGCCUUCGGGUUGUAAAGCUCUGUUAAUCGGGACGAAUGGUUCUUGUGCGAAUAGUGCGAGGAUUUGACGGUACCGGAAUAGAUAGCCACGGCUAACUACGUGCCAGCAGCCGCGGUAAUACGUAGGUGGCAAGCGUUGUCCGGAAUUAUUGGGCGUAAAGCGCGCGCAGGCGGAUUGGUCAGUCUGUCUUAAAAGUUCGGGGCUUAACCCCGUGAUGGGAUGGAAACUGCCAAUCUAGAGUAUCGGAGAGGAAAGUGGAAUUCCUAGUGUAGCGGUGAAAUGCGUAGAUAUUAGGAAGAACACCAGUGGCGAAGGCGACUUUCUGGACGAAAACUGACGCUGAGGCGCGAAAGCCAGGGGAGCGAACGGG